rnacentral:lncRNA from 1 species
CAAAUGGCAGCAAAGAAAAAGCAGCCUAAAGUUUAAAACUAUCCACGGUAAACUCUUUCCCUACAGGAGCAAACACAACGGAUCAACCCAUUCAAGCAAAGCCAGGUCCCUCCCCUGCCUUGCAUUUCCCAGGUACUGGCUAAGCCUCGGGCGGCUUCAAGGAAAGUUUAAAUUCCUUAGACUCAAGGGACGACAAAGUCACCAGUGAGAAGUGAGCUGAGCGCGGGGCGCUGGGACACCCGGGCCAUCUAAGUUCUCCGGGACGCGGCACCCAGGAACUUGGGGCGCCCCACGCCAGUCCCCUUGCGCCCCCAACCCGACCCAGAAAAAAAAGAGAAGAGAAGAGAAGAGAAGAGAAGAGAAGAGAAGAGAAGAGAAGAGAAGAGAAGAAAGAAGCACUGACCUAUUAAAAAGGAAGAAAACUGGCUUGUGCUGGAUGGCGCGUCCCCUGAGGUUUGGACACAUCGACUACAGAACACAGAAGAGCAGAGAGCCAGGAAACCCAGGAGUAAGCACAGCUGGAGUCUGUAAAGUUCUCCCUUCUUUGAUUCAGAGAGAAACAAGUAAGCAGUUGCCCUACUGCUCCAGCUGUUCGUUUCUGUUGUCUGGAAUGUAUAAUAAAC